rnacentral:rRNA from 1 species
CCUACGGGUGGCUGCAGUGGGGAAUAUUGGGCAAUGGGCGCAAGCCUGACCCAGCAACGCCGCGUGAAGGAAGACGGCUUUCGGGUUGUAAACUUCUUUUCUGAGGGACGAAGAUAGUGACGGUACCUCAGGAAUAAGCCACGGCUAACUACGUGCCAGCAGCCGCGGUAAUACGUAGGUGGCAAGCGUUAUCCGGAUUUAUUGGGUGUAAAGGGCGUGUAGGCGGGAAAGCAAGUCAGAUGUGAAAACUCAGGGCUCAACCCUGAGCCUGCAUUUGAAACUGUUUUUCUUGAGUGCUGGAGAGGCAAUCGGAAUUCCGGGUGGAGCGGUGAAAUGCGUAGAGAUACGGAGGAACACCAGUGGCGAAGGCGGAUUGCUGAACAGUAACUGACGCUGAGGCGCGAAAGCGUGGGGAGCAAACAGGAUUAGAUACCCUAGUAGUC